rnacentral:rRNA from 1 species
AACGAACGCUGGCGGCAGGCCUAACACAUGCAAGUCGAACGAAGUCUUCGGACUUAGUGGCGUACGGGUGAGUAACACGUGGGAAUAUACCUUACGCUGGGGGAUAACAUCGGGAAACUGAUGCUAAUACCGCAUACGCCCUUCGGGGGAAAGAUUUAUCGGCGAAAGAUUAGCCCGCGUCCGAUUAGCUAGUUGGUGAGGUAAUGGCUCACCAAGGCUCCGAUCGGUAGCUGGUCUGAGAGGAUGACCAGCCACACUGGGACUGAGACACGGCCCAGACUCCUACGGGAGGCAGCAGUGGGGAAUAUUGGACAAUGGGCGCAAGCCUGAUCCAGCCAUGCCGCGUGAGUGAUGAAGGCCUUAGGGUUGUAAAGCUCUUUCACCCACGACGAUGAUGACGGUAGUGGGAGAAGAAGCCCCGGCUAACUUCGUG